CAGUCGCCACGGUAAUACAGAGGGUGCGAGCGUUAAUCGGAUUUACUGGGCGUAAAGCGUGCGUAGGCGGCUAAUUGAGUCGGAUGUGAAAUCCCCGAGCUUAACUUGGGAAUUGCAUUCGAUACUGGUUAGCUAGAGUGUGGGAGAGGAUGGUAGAAUUCCAGGUGUAGCGGUGAAAUGCGUAGAGAUCUGGAGGAAUACCGAUGGCGAAGGCAGCCAUCUGGCCUAACACUGACGCUGAGGUACGAAAGCAUGGGGAGCAAACAGGAUUAGAUACCCGAGUAGUCCCUGUCUCUUAUAU
rnacentral:rRNA from 1 species